rnacentral:rRNA from 1 species
GAUGAACGCUGGCGGCGUGCCUAAUACAUGCAAGUCGAGCGAACAGACGAGGAGCUUGCUCCUCUGACGUUAGCGGCGGACGGGUGAGUAACACGUGGAUAACCUACCUAUAAGACUGGGAUAACUUCGGGAAACCGGAGCUAAUACCGGAUAAUAUAUUGAACCGCAUGGUUCAAUAGUGAAAGACGGUUUUGCUGUCACUUAUAGAUGGAUCCGCGUCGCAUUAGCUAGUUGGUAAGGUAACGGCUUACCAAGGCAACGAUGCGUAGCCGACCUGAGAGGGUGAUCGGCCACACUGGAACUGAGACACGGUCCAGACUCCUACGGGAGGCAGCAGUAGGGAAUCUUCCGCAAUGGGCGAAAGCUUGACGGAGCAACGCCGCGUGAGUGAUGAAGGUCUUCGGAUCGUAAAACUCUGUUAUUAGGGAAGAACAAAUGUGUAAGUAACUAUGCACGUCUUGACGGUACCUAAUCGGAAAGCCACGGCUAACUACGUG